ensembl:lncRNA
GCAGAUAAUACUAAUAGAAUCCACACUCACCUGCUUUGCUUUCAAUAUCUGAAGCAAAAACAUUUUACCACCGUAUUCACAUGCUGAUGGUCAGACUGCUUCGCUUCCACACUUUCAUUUCUUGUGUUCACAACUGAAGUAGGCAUCACUCCUUCAUAAACCUCAGAGUUAGCACUGAAGUGCUGAAUACCACUUAAGAAGCACCUUUUGGAUACUCUACAAUGCCACCAAAACCUGAAAACACUCCCAAGAAAAUCCUGAGGCAGGUGAUGUUUGUAGGCACCCACAGAUAUGGUUUUGAAACAUGACCAGAAGAGCGCUGAUGAUGCUUUGAAACUCAGAACACCAUUCCACCAGGACUCCUCAGCAGCUACUUUUUAUUAAAAAAACAAACAAAAGCUGAGACAUCAUUCCAACUUCCAAAAACUUUUUAUUAGGGCAGGAUCAAAAUUAGGAUGUUAAAUAACCAAGUUUCAACAGUGGGCACUUACAGGAAAUAACACAAUUUUUUCUUCCCAAGGUCUUUACUCAUCCUGCAGAAUCCAUGUUAGUACAGCAACAAACAACACACCAGGCACAGACAUUCAUCCACAAGGCAACCCAAUAAGGUCACCCAAAAAUCAAGCUAGAUUUCAAGAGACAGAUUCCAGGCAAAUGCGGAGAGUUUUAACAAUGAUUUACUGUAAGAUGAGGAAGAUUUAGCAGAACCAGGGGUCAGAGCAACUGCAACAAAACAGCAUUCAUAUAUUCAGCUGCUGAGCAAGCAAGUUCAACCAGUCAUAGAUACCUCUAUUUCUGAAAGGCUCGCUUCUUCCAGGCUUAUGAGAAACAACCCUCCAGGUUUAAAGUAGUCACCAGUGGGUCAGUCCCAACUCUUCAAAACAGUAUUUUUAGACCAGGCAUACAUUAACAGUUUAUGAAAUAGUCAGAAAUUAUAGGUAGAAGCUUAUGCUUCUGAAAGCUGUGAUGUGACGCUGUGGAGAAAGCCCUGAAGACUCCUGUUCCUUAGGUUCUAUUCCUGGCCCCACUAAUGUCCAAAAACAUUUUUAGGCUAAGUUAUUUCAGCUUCUGUGCCUCACUGUCAUCUGUAAGGAGAGGGAUAGACAUGUGGCCCCUUGCAGAGCCAUUUGAUCUGAUUAAGCACCAAGAUAAAAAACAUGAUUCUUCUAUUUCUUGUUCAAAUACAGGAGCUGUACGUAGCAGAAGGCUCUGUUGUGGGCUUUCUGCAACAACCUGCAACAGUGGCCUCAACAUACUACUUUUUUUCCCCCUCAAAUAUUAAGGAAGAACCAUGGAGAAUGCUGUGUUUUCCACCUAAUAACAGGUCAGGGAUUUAGUGUUUUUCAACGUGCUGAUUCUGAACAACCUUAAAAAGAUUUAGGCCUUCAUAAACAAUUUAAAGGCUGUUUCUACUUACCUUCUGCGAACCCCUUAGAAGUAAACCACAGUCCACCAGCCAGUAAAAUCUGUUAUUCUAGACUUGUUUUGAUCAAUACUCACAUCCUCAGGCUAAGCAGGGAUCAUAACAGGCACGUCCAACCUGCAGCCCUCAUGCAGCCCAGCAGAGCUUGCAAGGCAGCCACCCCCCACCACCACAGCAGCAGCUCUGCCCAGCCCCAGGCACACACCCAUUGCUCAGCAGCAACCAAACAUCACUGCACUAUUAACACCAAGCUGAAACCAGGGCAUGGAGAGAGCACAGUGCUAACUCAAAUUAUGGCAAAUAAUUGUAUAUCUUUUGAUACAUUGGCUAAACAGUCCUACAAAAUGCAAAAAUAUACAGCCUUGAUUUCAGUUUUGAUGAAGGAAUUUGAGAAUUGGUUUCAAGACUGCAAAAAACAUUUUGGUAAAUUCGCAACUCCAUUUUCCUUUGACACAAAUACAUUUUUCCCAAAUGGGAUGUACAAAUUUGCAGUCAGAUAGUCAACUCAAGAAUCUGAUCAUGUCUCUUUACCCGAUUUUUAUAAGAGAAAUACCCCUCACUUCACAGUCAUGCCUAAUUCAUGUCAUUGCUUUUGGCAGUAGUACAUUUGUGAACAACUGUUGUCAAGGACAAAGCACAGAAGAGAAUAAAGCUUCAUAAAAAAAACUCCAGUGAGAACGUAGAGAACUCGCUAAGAAUUGUAACCACUGCCACUGAACCAAAUGGAUUCAUUAGUUUCACAAAAACAAGGUCAAACUUCCCACUGGUUCUAUGGCUUUGUUGCUCUUUUCCCAUUUGAAUAGAAAUACUAGAAAUUAAAGUAAGUUAAUGUAUGUAAGUAACAAAACUAUGCUAUACAAGUGCUGCUGCAGAAGUAAUGCCUCCUGUUUUAUUAUUUUGGCCCACAGGGUCCAUGGUGGAUGUUGGUGGGAAGGCAACAUUGUACAAUGCUCAUUGUAUCUGUUGUAGUCCCCAGAAAAUAAGAGGCAUUGCUUUCAGAGCAACCUACUGCCCAAGACAAUUACUCUUCACUCAGUGGGGCCCAGACAAGCCAGAAGGUUGGACACUCAUGCAUUCUGAUUCUGCUGCACAUUCAAAACAUUCUCAACACUCUCUGAAAUAAGGGUACUACAGAAUGGGUACGUUAAAGGAAAUAAAAUAGUGGGGAUUUCUGCAGAUCAACCUGAUCAUAGAAUCAUAGAAUUAUAAGGUUGGAAAGGACCUACGAGAUCAUCUAGUCCAUCUGUUCUCCCAUUACCAUUACUACCACAAGCUACUAAACUGUAUCUCAUAGCUCCUCAUCCAGAGGCCUCUUGAAUACUGCCAGGGACAGCAACUCCACCACCUCCCUGGGCAGGCCAUUCCAGUGCCUGAUCACUCUCGGAGAGAAAUAGCUUUUCCUUACAUCUAAUCUAAACCUCCUCUGGUACAACUUGUGGCCAUUUCCUCAGGGUCCUGCUGACUUAAUAGUUUACACUGGCCCACACUAAUUUGUCAACCAUCUCACCAUCUUGUUUCUUCUCUAUUCUCUACUGAAGUUUUAGAAAAGGAUUACUUAGCUGUAUUAUCCAUUAUCUUCAACAGAUCUUCAAGGUGUUUGUCUUCCCUUCAAAAAUCAGCAGAAUCAGAGUUGCUCACUUGUCUCUCUGAAGUUCACCUUCACAAAUAAAUAGGAAGCCCUGUAGCAGCAUUUCCAUCACUACUUGUGCUACUUCUGUGAAGUUGUAGCAUUAGUCAGGCAGCUGCAACUACUAAUAAUUAACAACUCACUGCCAUCACUAAGCACACUGUGGCAUCUCUUUUCGCAUGCAGAACAGAAGUUGAUCUCUUGGCAGCCAACUCUUCACGUACAUAAUGAGAAGAUCCAUGCUUGAAAUUCAGCGCAGCUUGGAUAUAUCACAGAACAUCAUACGCCUUUGUGUGGCAGAAGGGGGUUUCCUCAAGAAGCUUCAUAGCAAUAAUUAAUCCAUGAGAUUGCCAUAUAUAAGUUUAAGAAAUGACUUAAAACUGAAAUUACAAUUGUCACCAUCGAUAAACAAGAUACAUUUAAUUCUUUUGUGAAAGAAAAAGAAUUCUAGUUAAGACUGUUCUGAAGAAUUUCCAGGCUUUCUGAUGUCUGGCCUCUUAAAGCACAGCUGAGAUUAUUAGAAGAGUAAUGCCAUUAUUUUAAUAGUCCAUGCCUUGUAAGAUACAAACACUUCCACACAUCACUUAUAUACCAAUGAUUUAUUUAGUGAUUUUAUACAGUCCAUACACACUCAGCAUACUUACCAUAGCAACUCAAAGAACUUUCCACUGUAGCCUUCUAGAGAUUGUCCUCAAUCUUGGCUAAAUCAGUAAGACUCCAUAUUAGAACUAUUCAUGAAUAGUCACAACAUUUUCCCCCAUCCACAGUAAGUUUUACUGACUCAUACCAUUAUGUUCUUAACACAAGUUAGCAGCUUAAGAAGCCAAUUACAAAAGCUGUUUUUAUGCCAAGAAAUGAUUUAGUUUCAAAGUACUUCAAGAUCAAGAUUUUGACUUCUAAGAAGUCUUGCUCUAGUUCAAGUUUCAAACAAUUUUCUUCUAGUAUCAGAAACUUCAGAUGAAAAUUAGCUCUCCAUCCAUUUUGGCUCUCAAACAUGUUUUCAAGAACUCGGACAGAUCUCUGAACUACUGAAUAAUUUCAGGUAACUUUGAGUCACUAAGAAAUCAUUCUCUGGAUCUUGGAGGAAGAAAGAGGUCAACUAGAACAGCUUAACAGAAACACAGUUAAAUUACUGAAAUGCUAGAGAAAUUUCAAGAUGACAUGAAAUUUCUUAACUGCAUCACAGUAAAUUAGGCACAAUUCUUGAGUAUGGAUCAUUCUUUAAAGCAGCUUCACAAUGCUGUUAACAGCAAAAAGCGCUUUGAUACCCGCACAUUCUAACAAACACUUAUCUGCUAGCCUGACAAUUCUUAUGGCAGAUACUGGCCCCAAAUAGAGUGAUAGCUAUUCUCCUAUUCUGUGAAGGUCACUUCACAUGCACUACACCUUAUUAUUCAUCCUCCUCUGAGAGGUAUAAGAAUUCUUCUUCUCAGGCAUGGAAAACAAUUCUCCACUGUUUUUUCCUUCAUGGCAACAAAAGACUAAGUCUUAAAAAAAUAUCCCUUUACCUAUGUAUUACAUAUGCACUUGGUUUGUGGACUGAUAGGAACUUCAGUCAGCUUUCAUUAUCACUGACUUGAGAAGCACAAAUAUAAACAUCUUUAAAUUAUGACUUACAUUUUGAGAGAGCAGUCACCUCCUAAGGUUCCACUAUAUCUUCACAUCAGCUUUGAACAGCCUUCUCCCUAAUGUACUUUUAAUUACAAGCAUUUGCUUACAUUCUACACCAGCUCACACAGCAGGUGCUCAUCCCAGAGGCCUCAAGUCCUCAGCUUAAAGGAGUGCUACACACUGACCAACCUUCACAAGCAAUAGAAGCAGUCUCUGCAAAGAGAAGGUACACUCCUCACUGCUUGGAUUUCACCAUUUUAUUAGCAGAACUCUGAAAAGCAAGAAAGCAUGGUUUGUUUCAAUCAUUCUUUCCUGGUUGCAAGUCACCAGCAGAGCAACAACAACAAAGAGAAUAAAACAGAAGCCUCAUAGAGUGCCUAAACAUUCAGCCCAAAAUAAACAGCAUAUUGAUAUACCAGAGAAAGAGUACACAGACCGUGAAACGCACACACCCCGAAUGAAGAAGUUGCUAACAACUAGUCAGGGCACAAGCACUCUAGAAACCUAAUUCCCACCCCAGCGCCGAGCACACACGGGUUACCAAGGCGCACCAGCAGCCCCCUCCCUUCCCUCACACUCGGGCUUCGGGGCCCUCCGAGCUCCUCAUCCCGCUGCUCGCCCACCUGUGUGCCCGAAGAGAGCUCCGCGGAGGGCCCGGCCCAGGGCGAGAGCUCUGCGCUGCGGCCCUGAGCCGGAGCCGGCGGUGUGAGGCGUCCCCACCAGGCCCAGACGGCGCAAGGCUCCCCCCACUGCCAAACCAGGCCUCAGCC